AGGGUUCGAUUCUGGCUCAGAAUGAACGCUGGCGGCAUGGAUUAGGCAUGCAAGUCGAACGGGGCCCGUUCCGGGGCCCAGGUGGCGGAAGGGUGAGUAACACGUGAGCAACCCGCCCCCAAGGCCGGAACAAGCGCUAGGAAACGGCGUCUAGAAACCGGAUGACGGACCCCCCUCGCAUGGUGGGGGCCGUACCAAAUUAUUCACUACCCGUGGGGAGUGGGCUCGCCGGCCCAUUAGCUAGUCGGCGGGCAACGGCCCACCGAGGCGACGACGGGUAGGUGGUCUGAGAGGAUGGUCACCCACACUGGGACUGAGACACUGCCCAGACUCCUGCGGGAGGCUGCAGUCGAGAAUCUUCCGCAAUGGGCGCCAAGCCUGACGGAGCGAUGCCGCGUGAGGGACGGAGGCCUUCGGGUCGUGAACCUCUGUCGCCCGGGACGAUAGUGACGGUACCGGGAAAGGAAGCCACGGCUAACCACGUGCCAGCCGCCGC
rnacentral:rRNA from 1 species